UACGGAGGGUGCAAGCAUUAAUCGGAUUUAUUGGGCGUAAAGGGCGCGUAGGCUGGGAAAAAAGUCAGAUGUGAAAUCCCGGGGCUCAACCUCGGAACUGCAUUUGAAACUCUUUCUCUAGAGGGUAGGCGGAGAAAACGGAAUUCCACAAGUAGCGGUGAAAUGCGUAGAUAUGUGGAAGAACACCGGUGGCGAAGGCGGUUUUCUAGCUUAUUCCUGACGCUGAUGCGCGAAAGCAAGGGGAUCAAACAGG
rnacentral:rRNA from 1 species